rnacentral:rRNA from 1 species
CGCUAUCACUCCUACGGGAGGCAGCAUGGGGAAUAUUGCACAAUGGGGGAAACCCUGAUGCAGCCAUGCCGCGUGUGUGAAGAAGGCCUUCGGGUUGUAAAGCACUUUCAGUAGGGAGGAAGGUAGUGUAGUUAACACCUGCACUAUUUGACGUUACCUACAGAAGAAGCACCGGCUAACUCCGUGCCAGCAGCCGCGGUAAUACGGAGGGUGCGAGCGUUAAUCGGAAUUACUGGGCGUAAAGCGCAUGCAGGCGGCCUGUUAAGUCAGAUGUGAAAGCCCGGGGCUUAACCUCGGAAUUGCAUUUGAAACUGGCAGGCUAGAGUCUUGUAGAGGGGGUAGAAUUUCAGGUGUAGCGGUGAAAUGCGUAGAGAUCUGAAGGAAUACCAGUGGCGAAGGCGGCCCCCUGGACAAAGACUGACGCUCAGAUGCGAAAGCGUGGGGAGCAAACAGGAUUAGAUACCCUGGUAG